AACCUAGCACACCUGCGGUGUGUACCUGCGGAAGGAUCAUUAACGAGUUACCACUCUAUAACCCUUUGUGAACAUACCUACAUGUUGCUUCGGCGGUCGGCCCCCCCGGGCCCCCGGCCCCGCUCACGCGGGGCGUCCGCCGGAGGAUAACCAAACUCUGAUUUAACGACGUUUCUUCUGAGUGGCACAAGCAAAUAAUCAAAACUUUUAACAAUGGAUCU
rnacentral:misc_RNA from 1 species